rnacentral:SRP_RNA from 1 species
GCUGGGUGUGGUGGUGCACGCCUGUAGUCCCAGCUACUCAGGAGGCUGAGGCAGGAGAAUCGCUUGAACCUGGGAGGCUGAGGUUGCAGUGAGCUGAGAUCACGCCACUGCACUCCAGCCUGGGCAACAAAGCGAGACUCCAUCUCAA